GUGAGGAAUAUUGGUCAAUGGGCGGGAGCCUGAACCAGCCAAGUCGCGUGAAGGAAGAAGGAUCUAUGGUUCGUAAACUUCUUUUGCAGGGGAAUAAAGUGCAGGACGUGUCCUGUUUUGUAUGUACCCUGAGAAUAAGGAUCGGCUAACUCCGUGCCAGCAGCCGCGGUAAUACGGAGGAUCCGAGCGUUAUCCGGAUUUAUUGGGUUUAAAGGGUGCGUAGGUGGUUUGAUAAGUCAGCGGUGAAAGUUUGCAGCUUAACUGUAAAAAUGCCGUUGAAACUGUCGAACUUGAGUGUACAUGAGGUAGGCGGAAUGCGUGGUGUAGCGGUGAAAUGCAUAGAUAUCACGCAGAACUCCGAGUGCGAAUGCAGCUUACUAAGCUACAACUGACACUGAAGAACGAAAGCGUGGGGAUCAAACAGGAUUAGAUACCCUAGUAGUCC
rnacentral:rRNA from 1 species